rnacentral:rRNA from 1 species
GACGUAGGGGCGCGAGCGUUUGUUCGGAUUUACUGGGCGUAAAGCGCACGUAGGCGGAUCGAUCAGUCAGGGGUGAAAUCCCAGAGCUCAACUCUGGAACUGCCUUUGAUACUGUCGAUCUGGAGUAUGGAAGAGGUGAGUGGAAUUCCGAGUGUAGAGGUGAAAUUCGUAGAUAUUCGGAGGAACACCAGUGGCGAAGGCGGCUCACUGGUCCAUUACUGACGCUGAGGUGCGAAAGCGUGGGGAGCAAACAGG